UNGUAAACAAGGUCCUCUGGUUUCUUAGG
rnacentral:piRNA from 1 species